AUCCAUUUAUGGAGAAAUCCA
rnacentral:snRNA from 1 species